rnacentral:rRNA from 1 species
AUUGAACGCUGGCGGCAGGCUUAACACAUGCAAGUCGAGCGGAGAUGAGGUGCUUGCACCUUAUCUUAGCGGCGGACGGGUGAGUAAUGCUUAGGAAUCUGCCUAUUAGUGGGGGACAACAUUCCGAAAGGAAUGCUAAUACCGCAUACGCCCUACGGGGGAAAGCAGGGGAUCUUCGGACCUUGCGCUAAUAGAUGAGCCUAAGUCGGAUUAGCUAGUUGGUGGGGUAAAGGCCUACCAAGGCGACGAUCUGUAGCGGGUCUGAGAGGAUGAUCCGCAACACUGGGACUAAGACACGGCCCAGACUCCUACGGGAGGCAGCAGUGGGGAAUAUUGGACAAUGGGCGGAAGCCUGAUCCAGCCAUGCCGGGUGUGUGAAGAAGGCCUUUUGGUUGUAAAGCACUUUAAGCGAGGAGGAGGCUACCUGGAUUAAUACUCUAGGAUAGUGGACGUUACUCGCAGAAUAAGCACCGGCUAACUCUGUGCCAGCAGCCGCCGUAAUAC